rnacentral:lncRNA from 10 species
CUUGGGGCUGGGGUUGGGAGUUCCGUGUGGGUGUGGGUGGGGAAGUAUCGGGGGACCUGCCCUGAUAAUCACGUAGGUUCUUUUCUAUUUUUCCUAAGCGUCGGCCGGCUUGAGAAAUAAAGGGACAGAGUACAAAAGAGAGAAAUUUUAAAGCUGGGCAUCCGGGGGAGACAUCACACGUUGGUAGGAUCUGUGAUGCCCCACAAGCCGCAAAAACCAGCAAGUUUUUAUUAGGGAGUUUCAAAAGGGGAGGGAGUGUGUGAAUAGGUGUGGGUGACAGACAGCAAGUACUUAACAGGGUAAUAGAAUAUCACAAGGCCAGUGGAGGCAGGGCGAGAUCACAGGACCACAGGACCGAAGCAAAAUUAAAAUUGCUAAUGAAGUUUUGGGCACCACUGUCACUGAUAACAUCUUAUCAGGAGACAGGGUUUUGACAUCAACCGGUCUGACCAAAAUUUAUUAGGUGGGAAUUUCCUCUUCCUAAUAAGCCUGGGAGCGCUAUGGGAGACUGGAGUUUAUUUCAUCUCUGCAGCCUCAACCAUAAGAGACAGGCCCACCUGGGGGGGCUGUUUAUAAGCCAAUACCUCCAGGUGCGUAUUCUCUUUCUCAGGGAUAUCCCAUGCUGAGAAAAAGAAUUCAGCGAUAUUUCUCCCAUUUGCUUUUGAAAGAAGAGAAAUAUGGCUCUGUUCUGCCUGACUCACCUGCGGUUAGAGUUUAAGGUUAUCUCUCUUAUUCCCUGAACAAUUGCUGUUAUCCUGUUCUUUUUUCAAGGUGCUCAGAUUUCAUAUUGCUCAAACACACAUGCUGUACAAUUUUUGUAGUUAACACAAUUAUUACAGGGUCCUGAGGCAAUAUACAUCCUCCUCAGCUGACAGGAUUAAGAGAUUAAAGUAAAGACAGGCAUAGGAAAUCACAAGGGUAUUGACUGGGGAAGUGAUAAGUGUCCAUGAAAUCUUUACAAUUUAUGUUUAGAGAUUGCAGUAAAGACAGGCAUAAGAAAUUAUAAAAGUAUUAACUUGAGGAACUAAUAAGUGUCCAUAAAAUCUUCACAAUCCACGUUCUUCUGCCGUGGCUUCAGCCGGUCCCUCCAUUUGGGGUCCCUGACUUCCCACAACAGGGGAGGGGGUACGGUUGGUCCAAAAGGGGAAGGACAGAAGCGGGGCCUGGGCCAGCAGCCCUGGGGCCCCCCAGGGCAGUGGUUUCCUGGCUCUGUGCUUCCUAGGAUCCUGGAAGCCGAC